GACGAACGCUGGCGGCGUGCUUAACACAUGCAAGUCGAACGGAAAGGCCCUGCUUUUGUGGGGUGCUCGAGUGGCGAACGGGUGAGUAACACGUGAGUAACCUGCCCUUGACUUUGGGAUAACUUCAGGAAACUGGGGCUAAUACCGGAUAGGAGCUCCUGCUGCAUGGUGGGGGUUGGAAAGUUUCGGCGGUUGGGGAUGGACUCGCGGCUUAUCAGCUUGUUGGUGGGGUAGUGGCUUACCAAGGCUUUGACGGGUAGCCGGCCUGAGAGGGUGACCGGCCACAUUGGGACUGAGAUACGGCCCAGACUCAUACGGGAGGCAGCAGCGGGGAAUAUUGCACAAUGGGCGGAAGCAGGAUGCAGCAACGCCGCGUGCGGGAUGACGGCCUUCGGGUAGUAAACCGCUUUCGCCUGUGACGAAGCGUGAGUGACGGUAAUGGGUAAAGAAGCACCGGCUAACUACGG
rnacentral:rRNA from 1 species